GCCGGGCGUGGUAGCGCAUGCCUGUAAUCCCAGCUACUGGGGAGGCUGAGGCAGGAGAAUCGUUUGAACCUGGGAAGCACAGGUUGCAGUGAGCUGAGAUCGUGCCACUGCAUUCCAGCCUGGGUGACAGAGCAAGACUCUGUCUCCA
rnacentral:SRP_RNA from 2 species